GAUGAACGCUGGCGGCGUGCUUAACACAUGCAAGUCGAACGAAACACCUUAUUUGAUUUUCUUCGGAACUGAAGAUUUGGUGAUUGAGUGGCGGACGGGUGAGUAACGCGUGGGUAACCUGCCCUGUACAGGGGGAUAACAGUCAGAAAUGACUGCUAAUACCGCAUAAGACCACAGCACCGCAUGGUGCAGGGGUAAAAACUCCGGUGGUACAGGAUGGACCCGCGUCUGAUUAGCUGGUUGGUGAGGUAACGGCUCACCAAGGCGACGAUCAGUAGCCGGCUUGAGAGAGUGAACGGCCACAUUGGGACUGAGACACGGCCCAAACUCCUACGGGAGGCAGCAGUGGGGAAUAUUGCACAAUGGGGGAAACCCUGAUGCAGCGACGCCGCGUGAGUGAAGAAGUAUCUCGGUAUGUAAAGCUCUAUCAGCAGGGAAGAAAAUGACGGUA
rnacentral:rRNA from 1 species